AGUGAACGCUGGCGGCGUGCCUAAUACAUGCAAGUCGAACGAAGUGGCGCACGGGCGAGUAAUAUAUAUUUGGGCUUCCCUCCACAGAGGAACAACAGUUGGAAACAACUGCGAAUACUUCAUAGUGUAGGAUGAGACUAUAUCGUAUCAGCUAGUUGGUAAGGUAAUGGGUUACCAAGUGUAUGACGCGCAACUGGUCUGAUAGGAUGAUCAGUCACAUUGUAACUGAGGCACGGUCCAGAAUCCUACGGGAAGCAGCAGUAGGGAAGAGUGCGCAACGGGGGAAUCCCAGACGCAGCAAAGCCGCGUGGAGGAUGACACUCUUCGGGGAUGAAGCUAAUUUUAUCAGGAAAGCGGUACCUGAUGAAGAAGCCCCGGCUAACUACGUGCCAGCAGCCGCGGUAAUAC
rnacentral:rRNA from 1 species